AGGACGAACGCUGGCGGCGUGCUUAACACAUGCAAGUCGAGCGGAAAGGCCCUUCGGGGUACUCGAGCGGCGAACGGGUGAGUAACACGUGAGUAACCUGCCCCUAGCUCUGGGAUAGCUCCGGGAAACCGGGAUUAAUACCAGAUACGACCACUUUAGACAUCUGUCGUGGUGGAAAGGAUUCCGGCUAGGGAUGGGCUCGCGGCCUAUCAGCUUGUUGGUGGGGUAAUGGCCUACCAAGGCGACGACGGGUA
rnacentral:rRNA from 1 species